rnacentral:misc_RNA from 1 species
GAUGAAGAACGCAGCGAAAUGCGAUAAGUAAUGUGAAUUGCAGAAUUCAGUGAAUCAUCGAAUCUUUGAACGCACAUUGCGCCCGCCAGUAUUCUGGCGGGCAUGCCUGUUCGAGCGUCAUUUCAACCAUCAAGCCCCCGGCUUGUGUUGGGGACCUGCGGCUGCCGCAGGCCCUGAAAAGCAGUGGCGGGCUCGCGGUCACACCGAGCGUAGUAGCAUACAUCUCGCUCUGGGCGUGCUGCGGGUUCCGGCCGUUAAACCACCUUCAUAACCCAAGGUUGACCUCGGAUCAGGUAGGAAGACCCGCUGAACUUAAGCAUAUCAAUAAGCGGAGGA